rnacentral:rRNA from 1 species
CACCAGCGCCACGAGUGGCAACCAUGUUUAUUGGGUCUAAAGCGUCCGUAGCCGGUUUGGUAAAUUUCUUGUGAAAUUGUUGGGCUUAACCUAACAACGUGCAAGAAACACUGCCGAGCUAGAGACCGGGAGAGGGUAAAGGUAUUCCAGGGGGAGCGGUAAAAUGUGAUAAUCCCUGGAGGACCACCAAUGGCGAAGGCAUUUAUCCAGAACGGCUCUGACGGUGAGGGACGAAAGCUAGGGGAGCAAAAUGGAUUAGAUACCCAAGUAGUCCUAGCUGUAAACUCUGCAAGCUGGGUGGUGCGUAUUCUUUGGGGAUGCGCAGAGCCCAAGCGAAGGUAUUAAGCUUGCCACCUGGGAAGUAUAGUCGCAAGGCCGAAACUUAAAGGAAUUGGCGGGGGCUCGCUACAAGGGGUGCGGCGUGCGGUUCAAUCUAAUAAUACACAGAAAAUCUUACUAGGAGCGACGGCAGGAUGAAGGUCAGAUUGAAGGUUUUACCUAACGAGCCGAGAGGUGGUGCAUGGCCGUCGUCAGUUCGUGCCGUGAGGUUUUGCGUUAAGUCGUAUAACGAACGAGACCCACGCCCAUAUUUGCUAGCAUACUCUUUAGAGUGAAUGAGCACAAUAUGGGGACUGCCUUGGAAACAAGGAGGAAGGUGUGGGCAACGAUAGGUCUGUAUGCCCCGAAUCUCCUAGGCUACACGCGCGCAACAAUGGUUGGGACAAUGGGAUACGACUCCGAGAGGAGAAGUAAAUCCUCUAAACCCUAUCUUAGUCUAGAUUGAGGUUUGUAACUUAACCUCAUGACAAUGGAAUCCCUAGUAAUCGGAUGUCAUCAGCGUCCGGUGAACACGUCCACGAGCC